UGAAAGACCCGCUCGAAAUGCCCCUGAGCCCCCUGCCCCGAAGCUGCCGGAGCCUCCCAAGCCUUCACCCCGGCAGGGCUCGCGCCCCCGGCCCGCCCCGCCUGGCACCACACCUCGGGGCUGGGGCCGAGCAACGAGCACCAGGUGGGCAGGCCCGAGAAUGAGCACCGGGUGGGCCGGCACGAGGGCGAGCACCAGGUAGGCUGGGCCGAGCAACGAGCACCAGGUGGGCAGGCCCGAGAAUGAGCACCGGGUGGGCCGGCACGAGGGCGAGCACCAGGUGGGUCGGCACGAGAACAAACACCGAGUGAGCCGGCCUGGAGCCCUGCCCCUGAGCCCCCGCCCGAAGAGAAACACUCCGUCCCAAGGUCUCCGCCCCCAAGGUCAGCCAUCAGGAAGGGGGGGGGAAUUGAGUCUGCUGUACCAGACACCAGACACCAGACCUUGAGAAUAUGCUGAUCUGGAAUGGCUCUGUGUCUUAUUUGAACCAUCCAAUAGAAAUGAUUCUGUAUUUCGCCUCAUUUGAAAGACUCUAUGUUUCACCUCAUUUGAAUAACUCUGUACUUUGCCUCAUUUGAAUAACCCUGUAUAGCGCCUCAUAUACAUUGACCAAUGGGAAUAGCUCUGUAUAAUGCCUCAUUAGAAUUAUCCAAUAGAAUCCCUACUCCUAGCUUGCGCCUUUUUCCCUAUAUAAGGACCCCUUUCCCUUGGCUCGAGGCGCUUAGCCACACAAAGGCUAAGUGGCCCCGGGUACCCGCGUCUCCAAUAAAGCCUCUUGUUUUUUGCAUCCAGUUCGUGGCCUCGCUGAUUCCUG
rnacentral:lncRNA from 1 species